GCCGCAGGUGCUCUGACUAGGUUGCACUACUGUGCUCUGAGAAGCAGUGCAAUGAUAUUGUCAAAGCAUCUGGGACC
rnacentral:pre_miRNA from 1 species